GCGACUACAGGAAACACUAUAGAAGCGAUUUUGCACCAAUUUAGUAAUACUAAAAUAACGGUUAAAUGAUUAAAUUUAUUAUUUUUUAAACAUGUUUAUAAUAAAAAAAUAUUAGGAAAUUUAUUAUAUAUAAUAAUCAUUAGGAGUCAUGU